CUACGAGCCGCCUGAUCUAAAUCAGAAUGAGGAUGAAGAGCUGAGAAGCAGUUACAGCAAACCAGACGACCACAACUUAGAUAAAAAGAAAGGUCUGAGGUGUCGGGCCUGUGUAGCUCUGGUGAGCAAAGUGAUGGGUCCGGUCUCGGCCAGGAUCAGAAAGAAAGUGAAUUCACUGUGUGACAUAUUUAAAGAGCCUCUGCUGAGUAAGUGUCUGUCCAAAACUUCCAACAUCUCCAGCAGCCUGGUGGAUUUUAUUUUCCCCAAGAAGAACGUGAGAGAAACGUGUGUGAAAGUGAAUAUGUGUGAACAAAAGCCUCAGAUCCGAUAUUAAACCCUCACUGUGGACUCGCAGCUUUAAUAAUGUUUUAAUUUGUUGGUAAUAAGUCGUGGUUUUGUUCAUUUUGCUUCAGUUUUUUUUUUUAUUGUUAUUCUUUAUUGUU